AGAGUUUGAUCCUGGCUCAGAACGAACGCUGGCGGCACGCCUAACACUUGCAAGUCGAACGAACCCUUCGGGGUGAGUGGCGCACGGGUGCGUAACGCGUGGGAACCUGCCUUUAGGUUCGGAAUAACAGUUAGAAAUGACUGCUAAUACCGGAUAAUGUCUUCGGACCAAAGAUUUAUCGCCUUUAGAUGGGCCCGCGUUAGAUUAGAUAGUUGGUGGGGUAAUGGCCUACCAAGUCGACGAUCUAUAGCUGGUCUGAGAGGAUGAUCAGCCACACUGGGACUGAGACACGGCCCAGACUCCUACGGGAGGCAGCAGUGGGGAAUAUUGGACAAUGGGCGAAAGCCUGAUCCAGCAAUGCCGCGUGGGUGAUGAAGGCCUUAGGGUUGUAAAGCUCUUUUACCAGGGAUGAUAAUGACAGUACCUGGAGAAUAAGCUCCGGCUAACUCCGUGCCA
rnacentral:rRNA from 1 species